rnacentral:rRNA from 1 species
GACGAACGCUGGCGGCGUGCUUAACACACGCAAGUCGAACGGUAAGGCCCUUCGGGGUACACGAGUGGCGAACGGGUGAGUAACACGUGGGUGAUCUGCCCUGCACUUCGGGAUAAGCCUGGGAAACUGGGUCUAAUACCGGAUAGGACCACUGCCUGCAUGGGUGGUGGUGGAAAGCUUUUGCGGUGUGGGAUGGGCCCGCGGCCUAUCAGCUUGUUGGUGGGGUGAUGGCCUACCAAGGCGACGACGGGUAGCCGGCCUGAGAGGGUGACCGGCCACACUGGGACUGAGAUACGGCCCAGACUCCUACGGGAGGCAGCAGCGGGGAAUAUUGCACAAUGGGCGCAAGCCUGAUGCAGCGACGCCGCGUGAGGGAUGACGGCCUUCGGGUUGUAAACCUCUUUCAGCACCGACGAAGCGCAAGUGACGGUAGGUGCAGAAGAAGGACCGGCCAACUACGUGCCAGCAGCCGCCGUAA